rnacentral:rRNA from 1 species
UACGGGAGGCAGCAGUGGGGAAUAUUGCACAAUGGGCGAAAGCCUGAUGCAGCAACGCCGCGUGAGGGAUGACGGCCUUCGGGUUGCAAACCUCUUUUAGUAGGGAAGAAGCGAUAGUGACGGUACCUGCAGAAAAAGCACCGGCUAACUACGUGCCAGCAGCCGCGGUAAU